rnacentral:rRNA from 1 species
CGAAAGUUAUUCUAAUUAAUACUUGAAUACACGACAGUUUGGGUACAAACUGAGAUUAGAUACCUCACUAUGCCAAACCGUAAAAUCAACUCACACCUAGCAGCGCCAGGGAAUUACGAGCUUAAGCUUAAAACCCAAAGGACUUGACGGUGUCCCACCCACCUAGAGGAGCCUGUUCUAUAAUCGAUGAUCCACGCUAUACCAAACCAUUUUUUGCUUUAUCAGCCUGUAUACCUCCGUCGUAAACUUACCACUUGAAUGCUUAAUAGUAGGUUUAAUGGCCCCCCGCCAAUACGUCAGGUCAAGGUGCAGCUCAUGAAAUGGAAAGCAAUGGGCUACAAUUUCUAACUUAGAACAUACGAAAUACUGCAUGAAAUAUAGUCAUGAAGGCGGAUUUAGUAGUAAAAGGGGAAUAGAGAGCCCCUUUAAACUUGGCCCCGGGACGUGUACAAACCGCCCGUCACCCUCUUCAA